UCUAGCAACGUUUGAGAUUGCACUAAGUAUCUCCCUGUGUGCUGCUCCAGGACUUGACUGGUGCAGUAUUGGUGGCUGCUGGGUCAGAUGAGCUCCCUGCUAUUCCAAGAAACAAUACAUGUUUGCAGCCACUAAGAUUUGAGGACUUUUGUUAUUACUGCCUAUCCUGACAGACUCAGGUGCUACAACUAUUUAAGGGCAU
rnacentral:lncRNA from 1 species